ensembl:lncRNA
UGGGCUCCCAGAGUGUGCAUGCCAAGUCACUUCAGGCGUGUGACCUUAUGGACUGUAGCCCUCCAGGUUUCUCUGUCCAUGGGAUUCUCCAGGCAAGAAUACUGGAGAGGGUUGCCAUGCCCUCCUGAAGGGGAUCUUCCUGACCCAGGGAUUGAGCCUGUGUUUCUUAUGUCUCCUGCACUGGCAGGUGGAUUCUUUACCACUAAGGCCACCUGGGAAGCCCCCCCCAGAGUGUAGUUGGUACCAAAGUUUGGAUCAAAGGAACAGGACAAGCAUGGGUUGUCUUAUUAAUGUAAAUAAUUAUGUCUUAGAGAUGUCUGAAGUGUAAUUUCAGGAACAAACUGCUGAUGAGAACUCCCACACAUAUUGAAUGUCUGGACUGUAAAAAGCCUGGAAUCCAAAAUGACCCCAAGGAAAGAUUUUUAAAGGCAAGGGACAUAUUUACAGAAAUGUAAUGAGUUAAAUUGUUAAAGUUCCUUUUCCAAAUUUUGGCAAUAGCAAGAGUCAUCACAAAAAAUUAAUAUUAGUAGUCUCACCAGAAUCUUUUAGUUAACUCACCUCAGUCACAUCCAACACUUUGUGAUCCCAUGGACUGCAGCCUGCCAGGCUCCUCUUUUCAUGGAAUUCUCCAGGCAAGAAUACUAGAGUGUGUAGCCUUUCCUUUCUCCAGGGGAUCUUCCCAAUCCAGGGAUCCAACCUGGGUCUCCUAAAUUGCAGGCAGAUUCUUUACCAUCUGAGCCACCAGGGAAGCCCCUUAGUUAACUCAGCAGAAAGAACAAACUACAACAUCCAUGACCCACUGAAAGAAAACAAGUAGAAGCUGAAUUUAAAAUGAUCAUAAUAGGACUUCUCUGGUGGCCCAAUGCAGGGGACAUGGCUUCUAUCCUCAGUCUACAAAGAUUACACAAGGCAACUGAGCCCCUGUGCUUGGUUCACAAAUCACACUCUGAACAAGGUGAGAAGCCACAUAAACCCAAAGGAUCCUAAGAAAACUAAAACUACCCUACAUUCUAAAAUACCCUCAAAGAUCCUAAACAAAACUAAACCCUAAAUCCUAAACAACACAAAACAUCCUCAAGUUUCUUAAAUGAUGCUUAAAAUCUUAAGCCCCAAAUUACCUAAACUAACUCAAACAACUCUACAUGACCUAAGGAUCAUAAUAGACUCUAAAAAAUCUUAAGCUUCAUACCUCCCUAAAGCUCCUUAAAAAAUUCACAUUUGCUUUAAAUCUAUUUUAAUGAAUUUAAAUCUAUUUUAAUAGAUCCAAACCCUUUCAGUCCAAAAGGCCAUUAAAAAAACCCCA